rnacentral:rRNA from 1 species
UACAGAGGGGGCAAGCGUUGUUCGGAAUUACUGGGCGUAAAGGGCGCGUAGGCGGCCUGCUAAGUCGAACGUGAAAUCCCUGGGCUCAACCCAGGAACUGCGUCCGAUACUGGUUGGCUUGAAUCCGGGAGAGGGAUGUGGAAUUCCAGGUGUAGCGGUGAAAUGCGUAGAUAUCUGGAGGAACACCGGUGGCGAAGGCGGCGUUCUGGACUGCUACUGACACUGAGGAACGAAAGCCAGGGGAGCAAACGGG